rnacentral:rRNA from 1 species
GAUAAACGCUAGCGGCAGGCUUAACACAUGCAAGUCGAGGGGCAGCAUAGAUUGUAGCAAUACAAUUGGUGGCGACCGGCGCACGGGUGCGUAACGCGUAUGCAACCUACCCGUCACAGGGGGAUAAUCCGGAGAAAUCUGGUCUAAUACCCCAUACAUAUGGAUCGGCAUCGGUUCAUGUUGAAAUUUUCGGAGGUGACGGAUGGGCAUGCGUAGCAUUAGCUUGUUGGUGAGGUAACGGCUCACCAAGGCGACGAUGCUUAGGGGGACUGAGAGGUUUUCCCCCCACACGGGUACUGAGACACGGACCAGACUCCUACGGGAGGCAGCAGUGAGGAAUAUUGGUCAAUGGGCGCAAGCCUGAACCAGCCAUGCCGCGUGCAGGAUGACGGCUCUAUGAGUUGUAAACUGCUUUUGUACGAGGGUAAAGUGGGUUACGUGUAACCUUUUGAAAGUAUCGUACGGAUAAGGAUCGGCUAACUCCGUGCCAGCCGCCGCAGUAA